rnacentral:rRNA from 135 species
AACGACUCUCGGCAACGGAUAUCUCGGCUCUCGCAUCGAUGAAGAACGUAGCGAAAUGCGAUACCUGGUGUGAAUUGCAGAAUCCCGCGAACCAUCGAGUCUUUGAACGCAAGUUGCGCCCGAGGCCAUCCGGUCGAGGGCACGCCUGCCUGGGCGUCACGCCAU